rnacentral:lncRNA from 1 species
AUAAAGUAGAUCUUUCAACUUAAAAUCAUGACCCACCUCCUUCCAAAAACCUUUUAUUUGUAAAAACUACUAAAGCCAACAGAUGAACGCGCUAUCUUACCCCAGGUGCUAGUCAGAAACUGGGCUGCAGCCUUUUUCACUGGUGACCUCUUGUUGUUCAGAGACAGGAACUUGUUUACUAAAGGGAAGAAUCACACAUCACUGCUUUGUCAUUGUGAGAAACUAAGGGAGAGACAGACAUAGUCCAUAAGAAAAUUACCAGUAGUCCUUUUGGAAUCUGAACCAUAUAAACAACUGUGGAUGAAGUGUUUGGCUGCCUCUUGCCUUGAAUCUCUCAGAUCUUCAUCUUUAAGCCUUACAGCCAUGUAGCUUUCAAUCUGACUGGUGAUUAAUACAAAAGGUCAACGUAAAUUAGAGGGUACAUGCUUGUUCUCCUGCAUAACUCUGUAGUGUAUGGUGCUGGGGACAGUCAACCCAAGGUGGCUCCCAUACACUACGUACGUACUGUACCACUUGGCCAACAUCCUUAACCCAACUUUUUCCGUCCUUAAGGUGGAUGGGGUUAGGGUGGUGUCAAACUCAGGGCCUCACAGAAACAAGGCAGGGACUGUACUUUAUGACUCCUAACGCCUACAUGAUCUCACUUUGUUACUAUCAAAACUGAUACUUUUCUACAAGUAAACCAAUACUAUCAACUACAUGGAAACUGCAUCCCACGGGGAAAACGGAACAAAACUCAUUACCCGACAGACUGCACUUUCUGUACUUUAACUUUCUUGGAGUUUCUUCCUUUUGCAUGCUGUUCACUUUUCUUUUUCAAAUUAACUGAAAAAAUAAGAUCCACUUUGUAAGUAGUAUUUAUAUAAAUUAACACCUAAUGGAAGUUACUCACUUUGGUGACCACCUAUCAUGUGAGUACAGGUUUUAUUUUGAAGAAAAUAGUGGAAAACAGGCUUAAGCCAACUUUGGCCAGGCCUAAGGACCACAAAUAACCAAAAAUUUCUGCAAGUGCACUUUACCAUUACAUGAAGUUACUUAACCAAGGACAAGUCAUACCUUUUACGUUUUCUGGUGAUUUCUUUAUGCUGC